rnacentral:lncRNA from 1 species
CCAAAUUGCAAAACCUCCCAACUGACUACAGAGACCACAAAUGUCCUGCAGUUGCAAUGACGCUGCUACAGCGACAGUGAUGGUGCUACGCCGAUCAGGUUAAUGUCACUGCUUUUGGUGUUUUGGUCGACGAAGGAUGGUGUGUGAUGUCUAUUGGAAUAGCCAAUGGUAGAUUAAGUUUUUGUUGGCUAGGUGUGCAGCAAUGGACAAACUACUAAACUGCUGUAGACGAUUGAGGUGCCAAGAUGAGGGUGGUCGGAAUCUGAGGUUGUUUUAAGCGGCUCGCUAGAGAUAUUUUCUCAAGCUAUAUGGAAAGACCUACUCCAGGUUCGUUGUGUGAGUGCUGCUGUGAAAAUGGAUUUCAUUUAUGGAAUUGAAUGAGAUCAUUUAUGUUGAUGCCACCAAUUUUUACAAUUACCUGAAACGUGGUGUAUUACUCUGCUGUGGAAUUUUUAAUAGCCAACAUUUUCUUCAUCUUCUUCAUAUUUUGCUUUAGGGGCAAGCAAGAGAGGGAGAGAAAGUGGAAAGCUUGGCUGCAAUGGGUAGAGAAAAGGGUUUGCGGUGUGAAAUUCACCUGAAGACUUGAAACUUUAUGACUAGACACAUUGUAAUCGUAGCAAAAUUAGAUGAUGUGGAUCAACAAAUUGUUGUUAAUUACUUAAUUCUUGGAUCUCUGUCCCCAAGAAGAUAAUCCAUACACAGAUUUUGGAUGCAUAUUAUUUAUUAUGAACUACCUAAUAGUUUUCCACACCCUCUGCUAGAAAUGCAAGUUGGUAGUGGGUAUUGCGAAAAGGAGGCAGAAAUGGUUUUUUGAGGCUUGGAUAUUGAAGUGGUGGUGGUGGAGAAGAUGGAGUUGUAUAAAAUGAUAUAACUUAAGGUUUUGACUAGUGUUUUGUCACUUUUUUUAAGUCGUUGUCGCUUUUUUUUUUAAUUUUUGUUGCUUUUUUGGUGUUUGUCAAUUUUUUUUAAUGGAACAUGUUACUUUUUUAAAUAUGUUCGUGUUUGCAUUCAUUUUUCCUCUGUUUUGUGUGUAUAGUUUUUUGUAUUUUGGCUUGGUUUGGUGGUAGUAAUAGUGUUGGUGACAAAGAAAGCGGAGGAAUAGAGUUAUGUCAUUGUACCUACUGUAUAUAAUGUCCUUGUAAAUACUUGAUGUCUGUAUUUGGCAUUAUAUCUCUGAUUGCAAAUGAUAGUGGCCUGUUUUAAGGCUUGUGACUAUCAUUGCAAGGAUUGUAAGACACUUUCUACCUUGACUACAAUACUUUAGGAAACCACCUACCAGAGUUAGAAGUUCAGUUCACA